GUCAUGUUUCAAACCACUAAGUCGGUUGAGACACUUAUUUGUAAAAAUACUUUAAUUUUUUAAAAAGUGCUUUUUAGAAACAAGCUGUUUGAAAAUCAGCUAGAAAUAAUUGAUAGCUUAAACUCUAAAUGUUAGAAUAUUUGCCAGAUUAUAAAAUGGGAUGCAGUAUAAAAUUGUUAACAGUGCUAAAAAAAACCCAAGAGUCACCAGAUUGAUACAGCUUUCCAUUGCCAAGGUGGUCGUGUUGAUAAUGUAAGACAUAAAUUUUAGUAUUACCUACAUUGUAUACCUAAUGGGUAUAUCAUAUUGGCACUGAACAUAUAUAGGAAAUACUAUU
rnacentral:lncRNA from 1 species